rnacentral:rRNA from 1 species
GAUGAACGCUGGCGGCGUGCCUAACACAUGCAAGUCGAGCGAUUCUCUUCGGAGAAGAGCGGCGGACGGGUGAGUAACGCGUGGGUAACCUGCCUUGUACACACGGAUAACAUACCGAAAGGUAUGCUAAUACGAGAUAAUAUGCUUUUAUCGCAUGGUAGAAGUAUCAAAGCUUUUGCGGUACAGGAUGGACCCGCGUCUGAUUAGCUAGUUGGUAAGGUAACGGCUUACCAAGGCGACGAUCAGUAGCCGACCUGAGAGGGUGAUCGGCCACAUUGGAACUGAGACACGGUCCAAACUCCUACGGGAGGCAGCAGUGGGGAAUAUUGCACAAUGGGCGAAAGCCUGAUGCAGCAACGCCGCGUGAGCGAUGAAGGCCUUCGGGUCGUAAAGCCCUGUCCUCAAGGAAGAUAAUGACGGUACUUGAGGAGGAAGCCCCGGCUAACUACGUGCCAGCCGCCGCGGUAA